GUUUACUGAAAUAUUUGGGCAUGGGUAUCAUUAGUGAGCAGUAUAUCGCUACUGAGUUUCACUGAUAAACCACACAACCCAAUGAUAAAUGCUGGAGCCAUUCUGACCUGUUCUUUACUCAAGCAGAACAUGAAUCUUGCAGAUAGAUUUGAUUAUGUAACAAAGAUGUUUAAAAGAUUGACGGGUGGAGAAUAUCUGGCAUUCAAUAAUGCUGUGUUUUUAUCUGAGAGAGAAACAGCUGACCGCAAUUUUGCUUUGGGAUAUUAUAUGAGAGAAAAUAAG